AGCGAACGCUGGCGGCAGGCCUAACACAUGCAAGUCGAACGAACCUUUCGGGGUUAGUGGCGGACGGGUGAGUAACACGUGGGAACGUGCCUUUAGGUUCGGAAUAACUCAGGGAAACUUGUGCUAAUACCGAAUGUGCUCUUCGGGGGAAAGAUUUAUCGCCUUUAGAGCGGCCCGCGUCUGAUUAGCUAGUUGGUUGAGGUAAUGGCUCACCAAGGCGACGAUCAGUAGCUGGUCUGAGAGGAUGAUCAGCCACAUUGGGACUGAGACACGGCCCAAACUCCUACGGGAGGCAGCAGUGGGGAAUCUUGCGCAAUGGGCGAAAGCCUGACGCAGCCAUGCCGCGUGAAUGAUGAAGGUCUUAGGAUUGUAAAAUUCUUUCACCGGGGACGAUAAUGACGGUACCCGGAGAAGAAGCCCCGGCUAACUUCGU
rnacentral:rRNA from 1 species